rnacentral:rRNA from 1 species
GACAGAGGUGCCGAGCGUUAGGCGGAAUCACUGGGCUUAAAGCGUGUGUAGGCGGGUCGUUAAGUGCCUUGUGAAAUCCCACGGCUCAACCGUGGAACUGCUGGGCAUACUGCCGAUCUUGAGCCAGCUAGGGGCAACCGGAACAAACGGUGGAGCGGUGAAAUGCGUAGAUAUCGUGUGGAACGCCAAUGGUGAAAACAGGUUGCUGGGGCUGUGCUGACGCUGAGACACGAAAGCCAGGGGAGCGAACGGG